rnacentral:misc_RNA from 1 species
GAUGAAGAACGCAGCGAAAUGCGAUAAGUAAUGUGAAUUGCAGAAUUCAGUGAAUCAUCGAGUCUUUGAACGCACAUUGCGCCCCCUGGUAUUCCGGGGGGCAUGCCUGUCCGAGCGUCAUUGCUGCCCUCAAGCACGGCUUGUGUGUUGGGCCUCCGUCCUCCUCCCGGGGGACGGGCCCGAAAGGCAGCGGCGGCACCGCGUCCGGUCCUCGAGCGUAUGGGGCUUCGUCACCCGCUCUUGUAGGCCCGGCCGGCGCUUGCCGACACAUCAAUCUUUUUUCCAGGUUGACCUCGGAUCAGGUAGGGAUACCAGCUGAACUUAAGCAUAUCAAUAAGCGGAGGA